UACGUAGGGACCAAGCGUUGUUCGGAUUUACUGGGCGUAAAGAGCGCGCAGGCGGUCGAUCAAGUCGAGUGUGAAAGCCCCCGGCUCAACUGGGGAGGGUCAUUCGAUACUGAUCGACUCGAAGGCAGGAGAGGGUAGUGGAAUUCCCGGUGUAGUGGUGAAAUGCGUAGAUAUCGGGAGGAACACCAGUGGCGAAGGCGACUACCUGGCCUGUUCUUGACGCUGAGGCGAGAAAGCUAGGGGAGCAAACGGG
rnacentral:rRNA from 1 species